UUCAAAGGAUAACAAUAACACAGCUCAGUUUCAGUUAGAUUCCGAGUGACAUGUGGAGGGAAGUGGUUGGUUGAUUAAGGAUCAAGGAUAUAGAAUUCCUGGCUUCCAUCCUUCCACUUUGUAUGGUGGUCUGACCACCUAGUCCCCCCUGCUUACAUCAUUUACCGAUUGGGGUAGUUCUCACUUGCACUAGUAAUUUUGUGCAACAUCAUAUUGAUCUCCCCUUUUUUUUCAUUUUUGUGUUUUCUUGAUCCACUUGAAUUCAAAUAGAUGGCCACCAUAACAGCUAGCAACUUCGCUGCAGUGCUGCCUAAGGCAACUUUGAAGGGAUCGUACAAAGUUCAAUCAUCUCCAGUUGUUGGAUUGCCUGUGAUGGCAACAAAUGGUAGGGUUAGGUGCACCUUGGAGCAGAAGCGAUCUGCAAGCAGCAUGAGCUUGAAUCCCAGCGUGGUUGCAUCACUGAUGGCAGCGGCAGCAGCAGCCAUGACCACGACUGCAGGACCCGCCAUGGCAUUGGUGGAUGAGAGAUUGUCCACAGAAGGAACAGGACUUCCUUUUGGUUUAAGUAACAACCUUUUGGGAUGGAUCCUUUUUGGAGCGUUUGGUUUGAUUUGGGCAUUGUAUUUUAUCUAUGUUUCUAGUCUUGAAGAGGAUGAGGAGUCAGGAUUGUCCCUUUGAAUGAUGGAAGGGGUUCGGUGUGAGUAUUGGAAUGGAAAUGUAGAGGAAAGGAAGGAAAACUUUGGCUCCUAAAUAGUCUCUUUCAAUUAACAGGUCUGGACUGGAAAAUUCAUCAUUAGAACUAUGAUCUAGCACCUGGAGCUCCUAUGGAAGAGGCUGUAAUGCCACAAAUGCCCUGCCAGGUGGUUCUACACAUCAGUUUAGGAAUUUCUGCACACCCCUCAAUUUAAAAUAUGAUACCCCAUCAAUCAUGUAGCAAGUGCAAAGAGACAAAAACAGAUUCCAUAUCAUAUAAUCCCAGUGUCAACAAAAAACUGGACUCAAUAUGUAACAUUUUCUCAUCAGGAGGUAAUCCAUUGCUUGCAUAAAUAUUAGAUUAAGUGAGGAGAGAUUGCAGAGAGACAACAAGCGGGUAUUUUAAUGCAAUUAUUCAAGCUCCCACAAGCAAUAAUUCUUCUACUCUCAACCAAGAGGCACAUUUUCGAUUGCUGUGAUUGUGCAGAACAGAAAGUGGCAGACUGGCAGUUGUCAGUUGUUGAACUUUGCUCUAAUGUUGCUGAAGAAAAAAUCCUAUG